rnacentral:tRNA from 1 species
UCCCUGGUAGUUCAGUUGGUAAAGAAUCUGCUUGCAAUGCAGGAGACCCUGGUUUGAUUCCUGGGUUGGGAA